UUUAAACGGCAAUUUUAUUAUAUGUCAAUGGAAUGGUUUUGUCUUUUUCUGACGUAAGUGCAUUAGAAAUGGUGUACAGAAUUUUGUUGACACAUAUUGUCCCUCAUCUAAAUUGAUACCACUUUGUUGAGGGGCACAUUGGUGGUACUGUAUUUCAAGCGCA